rnacentral:rRNA from 1 species
AACGUAGGAGACAAACGUUAUCCGGAGUUACUGGGCGUAAAGGGCGUGCAGGUGGUCUGUUAAGUCUGGCGUGAAAGCUCUCGGCUAAACCGGGAGAGGUCGUUGGAUACUGGCGGACUAGAGGACGGUAGAGGCGUGUGGAAUUCCGGGUGUAGUGGUGAAAUGCGUAGAGAUCCGGAGGAACACCAGUGGCGAAGGCGACACGCUGGGCCGUACCUGACACUAAAACGCGACAGCAUGGGGAGCGAACGGGG